AUCGUGAUCUCCGUCGACGGUUCGUGGCGGUCCUCCGGGAGCGGCACGAGGCAAGAGGGAACCCGGUGCGAGUCCGGGACUGCCCCGCAGCGGUGAGUGGGAACGACCGCCGUCAUCAGCACUGGGAACGAACCCGGGAAGCGACGGCCAGUAGGAACGGCAGGAGUGUCUGCCACGCCCACGAGUCCGAAUACCUGCCGUCGGUGCGCGCGCCGAC
rnacentral:ncRNA from 22 species